rnacentral:piRNA from 1 species
ACACUUCAAGUUUAAGUGGUUCAGUGAUGG